rnacentral:misc_RNA from 1 species
CUAUUUUGUACAAGCUCAAGCUUGUAGAAAUUGUCACCAUCAUUGCUACCACUGGUGAGCUUCCAUUUAUUUGACAUUUUAUGCUUGUGUACUUUUACAUUAUCUGGUUUUAUUGUACGUUUAAAAAAAGGACUAUAUAUUUCAUUUGUGUUUCUGUUUUAUGUGAUAAGCUUGUUGCAAAUCCUCUAUGGUUCCACGCUGGGGUUGUAAGUUGUAACAAUUACUUGUGUUUAUUUACAAUUUUUCUGCUUUGUUGUGAAGUUAAAAUUUUAUAAGGUUCUGCACAAGGUCAUAACUAUAAUUAAAUUGACUACUUUAAGUCAAACUAGUAGCAGGGGUUGCAUUCUUAUGAUUGCAUUUGAUAUUAUAAAUUAAGAAGUGAGGACUAUAUGCAGAUGUCUGCAUAUGACAUAUGCACAUGAAGGACAAAAUUAUUCAGCUUAAUGCAUUUGUCAGCGAAAUGAAUUUGCAUGUGGAUAGAAAUUUAUAUUCUACGUUCUCUUUUCUCUUUUCUUUUUUAUUGAUUGUUCCACUGAGUAAAGAUGAAGUCUGAGGCCUCCUUCCUAUUAUCCAUCGAUUGAUGCAUUGGAUGGUUGGUUAUUUUUCAGUGCCGAACAGCUAUUGUGGUUACGAUUUACAUCAAUAUUUAAUAUUAAUUGGAAUUGUUUUAUUACAAGUGCAGGCAAUAUUUAUCAUGACAUAAUUUAUAAGAUGAGUGUAUUAGCUUUCUAUUUUGCAUGCAUAGUUCAACAAGUUGUAUCUUUUACCUUGACACUUUGUUUGCCCUUUAUUCUGAAAUUUAUUUUGCAAUUUGUUUGGUUCUAGGAUGGCAAUGAGGUAUUCUUCAGGAUCAAGCAAAGCACCCAGCUGUGCAAGUUAAUGAUUGCUUACUGUGAUAGACACUCAGUGGAGUUGAACUCCAUUGCA